rnacentral:rRNA from 1 species
UACGUAGGGAGCGAGCGUUGUCCGGAUUUAUUGGGCGUAAAGAGCUCGUAGGCGGUCUGUCGCGUCGGCUGUGAAAACCCGGGGCUCAACCCCGGGCCUGCAGUCGAUACGGGCAGACUAGAGUGCGGUAGGGGAGACUGGAAUUCCUGGUGUAGCGGUGAAAUGCGCAGAUAUCAGGAGGAACACCGGUGGCGAAGGCGGGUCUCUGGGCCGUAACUGACGCUGAGGAGCGAAAGCGUGGGGAGCGAACAGG